GACGAACGCUGGCGGCGUGCCUAAUACAUGCAAGUUGAGCGCUGAAGGUUGGUACUUGUACCAACUGGAUGAGCAGCGAACGGGUGAGUAACGCGUGGGGAAUCUGCCUUUGAGCGGGGGACAACAUUUGGAAACGAAUGCUAAUACCGCAUAAAAACUUUAAACACAAGUUUUAAGUUUGAAAGAUGCAAUUGCAUCACUCAAAGAUGAUCCCGCGUUGUAUUAGCUAGUUGGUGAGGUAAAGGCUCACCAAGGCGAUGAUACAUAGCCGACCUGAGAGGGUGGUCGGCCACAUUGGGACUGGGACACGGCCCAAACUCCUACGGGGGGCAGCAGUAGGGAAUCUUCGGCAAUGGACGAAAGUCUGACCGAGCAACGCCGCGGGAGUGAAGAAGGUUUUCGGAUCGGAAAACUCUGUUGGUAGAGAAGAACGUUGGUGAGAGUGGAAAGCUCAUCAAGUGACGGUAACUAACCAGAAAGGGACGGCUAACUACGUG
rnacentral:rRNA from 1 species